UGAUGCCUAAGAAGAAUCGGAUUGCCA
rnacentral:piRNA from 1 species